UAUUAUUCUUCGGGACCUGAAUCGGAUAGUGUCGUUCGGUAGACCUUUAAAUACAAAGGAAGUAGACGAAUAACAUACUUCACAUGACAUGCAUGAUAAUCUCUUUGCUCUGGACUACUAAGUUAUAAAGAGUGCAGUUUAUAUACAGAAUUUUAAGUUUUUGAAUUCACAAUCUUUAAGUGUUCCGCUAUUUCAGCAGGUUAGUUUCUGGAAGUUGAUGUGAUUAGCAGUUCUUUACGCAUAUUUUAUCUUUGCUUCAGAUUGCUUAUUUUUGUUUCUCAUCAGAUCAGAAGCUUCCAAGUACUAGUUCACGACGGAAUAAAUAUAGAUGGAAUAAGUAAUUUCUUUUUUCCUGCUUCUCCUUCUUGUUGCAUCGUUACAAACAGCCCACAGGAUCUUUACAUACAACCUCUGCUGGCUCAGCCAGGAAGGUUUAUGGGUUCAUCUUAUCACUGAACCCUAGCUUGUUGUAGUCUAGUUACUGAGUUCACAAUUAAAUAUUUUUAUACGUUUAUUGGAUUUUCUAACAAAAAUGCCAGGUUUAAGCAAGUCAUUGGGUUCGUCCGAACACGUCUCCUACACUAGCUACUACCUCUGCCCUUGUCUGCACUUCAUGUAUUGCGCCAUUUUUGGGGGCAACAAUGACUAUAUUUAGAUGAACUAUUUCAAGGCGUUUUCACUUUGAUUGCUCUCACAAGUAUACUUAGAGUGGAGAUGUUUGGUUAUCCGGAAAAUGUUUUCUAUAAAAAGAGAGAAGAUGACUUCCGUCACUUCUGAGCGACAAAAACAUUUUCCUUUACAAAUAUUUCAACUCUUAUUACAUAUUACUUGCUCCAGUCUAUCCACAUUAUUGACCUUUAACACUCAAAAUUUUCAUAAAAUCUUCAAUGCAACACACUACUUUUGAUUGUGACAGUACUAUCAAUCUCUAAUAAAUGUAUUUCUAAAAAGUAACCUGUCAAUAAAUUAAUAAAUAAAUGUAGUCCAGAAAAUAGUUUUCAUUCACCAUCCAAAUACCCACAAAAAAUUUUAAGAUAAUUUUUCAGGUAACUGUUUUCGAAGGGGCAUUUGCAUCUAUACUUUUGUGUCACGUUUUAACUUGUGUCUGCUUUGUAAAAAAAAAUUGCAAGCGUACCCGCUUUUUCGCAUAGCAAAGGCAAUCACGCAAAACUUCAGCAUUCUAGUAGUCGGGCCUGAAGUUCAGCUCUAGAGCUUAAGUUUUUGUUUUGUAACUGUCGAACUUCAGCUCUAGAGCUAAUGUUUUUGUUUGAACUGGCGAAGAGCUGAAGUUUUUGUUU
rnacentral:lncRNA from 1 species